UCUACGGGGGCUGCAGUGGGGAAUAUUGGACAAUGGGCGAAAGCCUGAUCCAGCCAUGCCGCGUGUGUGAAGAAGGCCUUCGGGUUGUAAAGCACUUUCAGUGGGGAAGAAAGCCUUGGGGCUAAUACCCUCGAGGAAGGACAUCACCCACAGAAGAAGCACCGGCUAACUCCGUGCCAGCAGCCGCGGUAAUACGGAGGGUGCGAGCGUUAAUCGGAAUUACUGGGCGUAAAGCGCGCGUAGGCGGUCUGAUAAGCCGGUUGUGAAAGCCCCGGGCUCAACCUGGGAACGGCAUCCGGAACUGUCAGGCUAGAGUGCAGGAGAGGAAGGUAGAAUUCCCGGUGUAGCGGUGAAAUGCGUAGAGAUCGGGAGGAAUACCAGUGGCGAAGGCGGCCUUCUGGACUGACACUGACGCUGAGGUGCGAAAGCGUGGGUAGCAAACAGGAUUAGAUACCCCAGUAGUC
rnacentral:rRNA from 1 species